rnacentral:rRNA from 1 species
UACGUAGGGAGCGAGCGUUGUCCGAAGUUACUGGGCGUAAAGCGCGCGUAGGCGGGUUUGAAAGUCGGGAGGUGAAAUGCUGGGGCUCAACUCCAUGCAGUGCCUCCGAUACUUCAAGUCUUGAGUGCGGUAGGGAGAAGUGGAAUGGCUGGUGUAGCGGUGAAAUGCGUAGAUAUCAGUCGGAACACCGGUGGCGAAGGCGGGUCUCGUCGGACUGU